CCCUUAGAUGUUCUGGGCUGCACGCGCGCUACACUGGUCGAUGCAACGAGUUUCUUUCCUUGGCCGACAGGCCUGGGCAAUCUUUGAACAUCGAUCGUGAUCGGGAUAGAUUCUUGUAAUUUUUGAUCUUAAACGAGGAAUUCCUAGUAAACGCAAGUCAUCGGCUUGCAUUGAUUACGUCCCUGCCCUUUGUACACACCGCCCGUCGCACCUACCGAUUGAAUGGUCCGGUGAAAUCUCCGGACUGGCGUGAGUCGGAGCAAUCUGACAAACACCGGAAAGUUGAUUAAACCUUACCAUUUAGAGGAAGGUGAAGUCGUAACA
rnacentral:rRNA from 1 species